AGCGAACGCUGGCGGCAGGCCUAACACAUGCAAGUCGAACGAACCUUUCGGGGUUAGUGGCGGACGGGUGAGUAACACGUGGGAACGUGCCUUUAGGUUCGGAAUAACUCAGGGAAACUUGUGCUAAUACCGAAUGUGCCCUUCGGGGGAAAGAUUUUUCGCCUUUAGAGCGGCCCGCGUCUGAUUAGCUAGUUGGUUGAGGUAAUGGCUCACCAAGGCGACGAUCAGUAGCUGGUCUGAGAGGAUGAUCAGCCACAUUGGGACUGAGACACGGCCCAAACUCCUACGGGAGGCAGCAGUGGGGAAUCUUGCGCAAUGGGCGAAAGCCUGACGCAGCCAUGCCGCGUGAAUGAUGAAGGUCUUAGGAUUGUAAAAUUCUUUCACCGGGGACGAUAAUGACGGUACCCUGAGAAGAAGCCCCGGCUAACUUCGUG
rnacentral:rRNA from 1 species